AUUGAACGCUGGCGGCAGGCCUAACACAUGCAAGUCGAACGAGCGGCGGACGGGUGAGUAAUGUAUGGGAAACUGCCCGAUGGAGGGGGAUAACUACUGGAAACGGUAGCUAAUACCGCAUACUAUCGGAUGUGCCCAGAUGGGAUUAGCUAGUAGGUGGGGUAACGGCUCACCUAGGCGAAGAUCCCUAGCUGGUCUGAGAGGAUGACCAGCCAAACUGGAACUGAGACACGGGCCAGACUCCUACGGGAGGCAGCAGUGGGGAUUAUUGCACAAGGGGCGCAAGCCGGAUGCAGCCAUGCCGCGUGUAUGAAGAAGGCCUUAGGGUUGUAAAGUACUUUCAGCGGGGAGGCGUUACUGACAGAAGAAGCACCGGCUAACUCCGUGCCAGCAGCCGCGGUAAUUC
rnacentral:rRNA from 1 species